AAAAGAUUCCGAAACAUACCUCGAGGAAUAUUUAUGGUCAGAUUCAGAUUUUGCGGUGGCAUAAUUGAAAUAUUAAUGUUUGAAGAUCCAUGUAAAGGAAAAAAUUCUAUACUCCAGAAUAUGAUGAUCCGAGUAACCCUAAGACACCAAUGCAGCGAAUAACAAACGCUAGCAGAGGGUGUGACAACAGCGCAGUGGGGAAAAUUGCCGUUGCAAGUUGCAAGUUGCAAGACCUGGAGUGUCGUUUCCAGUGUUUGGGGUCUGUUUUGGGGGGUUUCGAGUCUCCUGUUUGGCGGUGUUGGAUAUUGACCGGCGUGUUUGAAGUCGCUUUAGGCGGCUUAGCGGGUUUGUUAGCGGUGGAGAUGAUCCUCCUGUAGGCGUCGUCCCAAGACUCCUAACGAACCGCUCAAUCAAUGCAAGACAAUGCAAGUCUAGUGCGGCGGGGUCGACUACGUAUCGGUUUCGUUGCGUCAGAAUUUGACAAAAGAAAGAGGUCCAGUCCUCGGUUGGCAAGAGACAAUGGCGUGUACUAUCGUGCCACUAUGUAGGUCGUCGUCAGCACCCUCCAAUGACUGCUGCACGGCAUGUCCCACCCAACACUGAGUACGGAACACGGGUCAGACGGAGAAGAGGAUCAGAAAAAAAGCCAUGGAUGGGAUGGCCGGGGAAUUGAGAUGAUGUAGAAAGAAUGAAGAUGGAGGAGGAGAGGACGAGAGAAAAGGAAGGAUGCGAAUACCGUUAUCUCCUUCCCUGUAGACAGAACCAUGAACCUCUCACGUGCUCAGGGUCUACAUAAUUCUCUUCGUCUGACGCUCAACAAAGCACGGCAUAUCCAGCCAACCUUGC
rnacentral:lncRNA from 1 species